GAAUAAAGUGAUUUAGUAGUUUGAUUUUUUCCUCUUGAUACAUUCGAAUCAAGAUCGAUAAUUUCAAAAGAAGUGAGCUUCGAAAAUUUAUCCUCAUUAGAAGAAUUUUUUUUUCGAUGCACCAAAGGACGAUAUUCAAAAAGCCAUCUGCAUAAUACGGAACGUUGUUUUUGUUUAUUUUGGUGAUAUUUCCUUGAAUUGAUGUGGAGGACAAAGUCAAAAAAACAUACUUUCCAUCGCUACUAAUAGCCAAACUCCAUAUUGGAGAAGAUGGUGAUGGUUUUCCAAGACCUUUACGAAUACGAACUGGGAAAGGUGGUGACCGACGUUUCCAGUAUUGAAGAAGUAAAUGAUUUUGCAUUGUAGAGUGACGUAAACUCGAAUUAAGCUCGAGAGUUUUAUUUUUUCC